AACUACGGCCCGCGGGCCACAUCCGGCCCGUUAGGCUUUUUAAUCCGGCCCGCCGUACUUGUCCAAAUCGCGACUUUGUUUACUUCCGGUGUGCGUUGGCGCGGAAAGAACUCGUCACACGAAACCCUUCACCAUGAUUUGUCAAUCCGUUUGUCUGUCAAAAUUUCUCGAAAAAAACCAACCAAUGAACACUCAGUAAAUCACAAAGGACCCGCCCACCACACAGGUGGAGCUCAUUUAGAAACAGCCGCAGUGAUUUUGGCUAGCAGCGCGGAGCCUGGAGCAGCUGCAGAGCCACGAGGAGGAACACGCAGCUACAAGAGAGCCACUUGGACCGGAGAGGAUUCACCAGCGCCUGCAGCUCCACCUGCAGCUCCACCUGCCCGGCCAGCAGAGGUCUCGUGACACGAUGACAUGAUGUUAUUAUAGUGAAGACAUAUUGUAAAUAGUCAAUAGUUGUGUUCUGUUUUCUAUUUCUCAACAUGUAUAUAAUGUAGAUUUUCUUUUUUUUUAAUGUACAAUACAUAUUUAUAAAAAAUAAAUGAAUGUAAUGGUCA